AAGUGGCUAAUAAGUUAAAGCGCUGGCUUUUAAAAUAGAAGGUAAAAGUU
rnacentral:tRNA from 12 species